GAUGAACGCUGGCGGCGUGCUUAACACAUGCAAGUCGAACGAUGAAGCCCAGCUUGCGGGGUGGAUUAGUGGCGAACGGGUGAGUAACACGUGAGCAACCUGCCCCUGACUCUGGGAUAAGCGCUGGAAACGGCGGCUAAUACUGGAUAUGUCCCGUCACCGCAUGGUGUGCGGGUGGAAAGAUUUUUGGGUUGGGGAUGGGCUCGCGGCCUAUCAGCUUGUUGGUGAGGUAAUGGCUCACAAAGGCUUCCACGGGUAGCCGGCGUGAGAGGGUGACCGGCCAUAGUGGGAGUGAGACAGGGCACAGACCUACACGGGAGGGAGGAGUGGGGAAUAUUGCAAAAGGGGCGGAAGUCUGAUGGAGAAACGCCGCGUGAGGGAUGACGGCCUUCGGGGUGUACCCCUUUUUUAGAAGGGAAGACGUGAAAGUGCCGGUACCUGUAGAAAAAGCCCCGCUUAAUUAGGU
rnacentral:rRNA from 1 species